GACGACGCUGGCGGCGUGCCUAAUACAUGCAAGUAGAACGAGUUGCGAACGGGUGAGUAAUGUCUGGGAAACUGCCCGAUGGAGGGGGAUAACUACUGGAAACGGUAGCUAAUACCGCAUACCAUCGGAUGUGCCCAGAUGGGAUUAGCUAGUAGGUGGGGUAACGGCUCACCUAGGCGACGAUCCCUAGCUGGUUUGAGAGGACGACCAGCCACACUGGAACGGAGACACGGCCCAGACUCCUACGGGAGGCAGCAGUGGGGAAUUUUGGACAAUGGGGGAAACCCUGAUCCAGCCAUGCCGCGUGUGCGAUGAAGGCCUUCGGGUUGUAAAGCACUUUUGGCAGGAAAGCGGUACCUGCAGAAUAAGCACCGGCUAACUACGUGCCAGCCGCCGCGGUAAUAC
rnacentral:rRNA from 1 species